rnacentral:tRNA from 1 species
GCCCCCGUAGCUCAGGUGGAUAGAGCAAUGGAUUCCUAAUCCAUGUGCCGCGUGUUCGAGUCACGCCGGGGGCA